rnacentral:lncRNA from 1 species
GGCCAACUAAAAUUAAUUAGUAGAUUUUCAUCCAAAUUUUUGAAAAAAAUGGGGCGGGUGGGAGGAUUUAAUUUUUUAAUUUUUAUUUCUUAUGAAACCCUCUUGUGACGUGUUCUUCAAAUAUGCAAGUGUAAUAAUAAGCUUAUAUUAUGUAUAUACAUAUAUAUAUAUGGAAUCGUACACAAUAUUUCAAAUCUUAACAUGAAUGAAAAUCUCUAAUUGGCAACCACUGUUCUACAUGUAAUUGCUGCUUUAGAAACCUAAACAGCAAAAACAUAAAAGAAGAAUGCUCUCUUUAGUUGGACUACCUUCACCAAAUUUAGUGUCUUUUUAAGGAACAUUUUUUUGUCUCCAUAAAAUGAAACAAAUAUGCAACUAAAGAAUUACGAGUUCAGAAUAAAAUGAAACCGUUUUGAAAACGAAAGGGUUGGUGCUUUUAUGAUUCUUCUUAUAGAUGCAAAUAUAAUUUUAAAAUAUGUAAAAAAUGAACUUAACCAAAAAGGAGAUGUUUAAUGGAUCUAUUGAGGAUAUUGGGACAGAAGGUGUGUGUGCUGUCUGUCAACAAAAAAGACAUGGGUAAAUCUAAGAAGUGUGACGGGAUUGCUUCCCCUAGAAAAACUUAGUAUACACUUAGUCAGCCGUAAGCGGUGGAGCUAAGGAAGUACUUCUUUAGCUCAGUCGGUUAGCGCGCUGCCUUGUAACACAGAGGUCCUGGGGUUCGAGUCCCGGUGGAGACAAGCAAUUUUGUAAUGAAAUUCGUGCUCUCCGAUUAAAGUAUGUUUGCCGACUUUUUGAACUCAAUUAUAUUGUAAUAAAUCUAACAAGUUCGUGUUUGCGUCAUUUCAUUUAUACAGUAAUGGUAUUCUACUAGUGUGUUCCACGAUUCAUGCUCUUUGGGUAUAAUUCACAGUCCAAAAUUCCUUCCACAAAGUCAUUUUAUCAAUACAAAAAUCAAUAGUUUUCUAAAUCACAGAAAUGUGUGUCAUGCCGUGAUUUGCCAUCUUGGACACAGCGUAUUACUUGUAAUCCGAUUAU